rnacentral:rRNA from 1 species
UGGGGAAUUUUCCGUCCAAAUAGGGCGGAAAAGCCUGACGGAGCAAUGCCGCGUGGAGGUGGAAGGCCCACGGGUCGUCAACUUCUUUUCUCGGAGAAGAAACAAUGACGGUAUCUGAGGAAUAAGCAUCGGCUAACUCUGUGCCAGCAG